rnacentral:rRNA from 1 species
GACGAACGCUGGCGGCGUGCUUAACACAUGCAAGUCGAACGGAAAGGCCCUGCUUUUGUGGGGUGCUCGAGUGGCGAACGGGUGAGUAACACGUGAGUAACCUGCCCUUGACUUUGGGAUAACUUCAGGAAACUGGGGCUAAUACCGGAUAGGAGCUCCUGCUGCAUGGUGGGGGUUGGAAAGUUUCGGCGGUUGGGGAUGGACUCGCGGCUUAUCAGCUUGUUGGUGGGGUAGUGGCUUACCAAGGCUUUGACGGGUAGCCGGCCUGAGAGGGUGACCGGCCAGAUUGGGACUGAGAUACGGCCCAGGCUCCUACGGGAGGCAGCAGUGGGGAAUAUUGCACAAUGGGCGAAAGCCUGAUGCAGCAACGCCGCGUGCGGGAUGACGGCCUUCGGGUUGUAAACCGCUUUCGCCUGUGACGAAGCGUGAGUGACGGUAAUGGGUAAAGAAGCACCGGCUAACUACGUG